rfam:Myotis lucifugus cont2.9267, whole genome shotgun sequence.
AGAGGCCCUCUGCGGCUGGGCGCGGAAUGCUUGCCUCAUUGCCGGGGCGACAAAGCAAGCAUUUCACCAGGCCGCUCACACUGCCCGC